GUAAAUAUAGUUUAAUAAAACUUUAGACUGUGAAUCUAACAAUAGGAAAUUAAUCAAUUCCUUAUUUACC
rnacentral:tRNA from 1 species